CCGAGCUGUUCCCCCCCCUCGCGGGGGGACUCCUCCCCAAACCCUUCUGUGAACCUUACCUGUACCGUUGCUUCGGCGGGAACCGCCCCAGGUUUAGCUGCGUGCCCUGGAACCAUGGCGCCCGCCGGGGACCCAAACCAAGAUUCUUUUUACCUUUUUUUUUUCUGUGGCGCAUCUUUGCGAAAGCAAAAAUGAUACAAACCAAUCA
rnacentral:misc_RNA from 1 species